AGUCAGUUGGUGUAGUGGUUUGUGCAUUAGACUAUGACUCUGGAGGCCAGGGUUCAAAUCCCAGCUUGGCCA